rnacentral:tRNA from 2 species
GAGAAUGUCGUCUAAAGGUUAAGACUCUUAUCUUUUAAAUAAGCUAUGCUGGUUCGAUUCCAGCCUUUCUCA